CACGUAGGGGGCGAGCGUUGUCCGGAUUCAUUGGGCGUAAAGAGCUCGUAGGCGGCUCAGUAAGUCGGGUGUGAAAUCCUCAGGCUCAACCUGGGGACGCCACUCGAUACUGCUGUGGCUAGAGUCCAGUAGAGGAGUGUGGAAUUCCCGGUGUAGCGGUGAAAUGCGCAGAUAUCGGGAGGAACACCAACGGCGAAGGCAGCACUCUGGGCUGGAACUGACGCUGAGGAGCGAAAGCUAGGGGAGCAAACAGG
rnacentral:rRNA from 1 species